rnacentral:rRNA from 1 species
GCGGGAAUUAGAUUCAGGCCUAACCCAUGCACGUCCCCCGGUAGCGCAGGAAGGUUGCUUCUGGCUGGCGAGCGGCGGACGGGUGAGUAAUGUCUGGCAAACUGCCUGAUGGAGGGGGAUAUCUCCUGGAAAAAAAAACUAAUCCCCCAUACCGUCCCAAGACCAAAGAGGGGGACCUUGGGCCCUCUUCCCAUCAGAUGUGCCCACAUGGGAUUACCUAUUAGGUGGGGUAAGGGCUCACGUAGGCCACGAUCCCUCCCUGGUCUGAGAGGAUGACCACCCACACUGG